rnacentral:rRNA from 1 species
CCUACGGGAGGCUGCAGUGGGGAAUCUUGCACAAUGGGCGAAAGCCUGAUGCAGCAACGCCGCGUGAAGGAAGACGGUUUUCGGAUCGUAAACUUCUGUCAAUAGGGAAGAAAGAAAUGACGGUACCUAAAUAAGAAGCCGCGGCUAACUACGUGCCAGCAGCCGCGGUAAUACGUAGGGGGCAAGCGUUAUGCGGAAUUACUGGGUGUAAAGGGAGAGUAGGCGGCAAUGUAAGCGAUAUGUGAAAGCCUUAAGCUUAACUAAAGGAUUGCAUAAGGAACUUGCUAGCUAGAGUACAGGAGAGGAGAGCGGAAUUCCUAGUGUAGCGGUGAAAUGCGUAGAUAUUAGGAAGAACACCAGUGGCGAAGGCGGCUUUCUGGACUGAAACUGACGCUGAGGCUCGAAAGCGUGGGGAGCGAACAGGAUUAGAUACCCCUGUAGUC